GACGAACGCUGGCGGCGUGCUUAACACAUGCAAGUCGAACGAUGAAGAAGAGAAACGCGAACUUCGGUUCAAAUUUCACUUCGGAUUAGUGGCAGACGGGUGAGUAACGCGUGAGCAACCUACCUCUUACAAAGGGAUAGCCUCGGGAAACCGUGAUUAAUACCAUAUGACACAUUCAUAAGGCAUCUUAAGAAUGUUAAAGCUACGGCGGUAAGAGAUGGGCUCGCGUCCCAUUAGCUAGUUGGUGAGGCAACGGCCCACCAAGGCGACGAUGGGUAACCGGCCUGAGAGGGUGAACGGUCACAUUGGAACUGAGACACGGUCCAAACUCCUACGGGAGGCAGCAGUGGGGAAUAUUGCACAAUGGAGGGAACUCUGAUGCAGCGACGCCGCGUGAGCGAUGAAGGAAUUCGUUUCGUAAAGCUCUGUUCUAUGGGAAGAAAAGGACUGUACCAUAGGAGAAAGCCCCGGCUAAAUACGUG
rnacentral:rRNA from 1 species